ensembl:lncRNA
UCAGAAAAGAAAGUAUAAAAACUUGGGCAAAAACCAUGCAGCACAUGCUAAGGUCAGAAGUGACAGCGGGUUUGGGCUGCGACUCCGCUUCAGCUCGGGGUCACAGCCCUGCCGUUCCGGUUUGCUCCCGGAGCUGAGUCUCCUCAGCAGGAGGCUGGCGGAACUGGAGGAAGAGGGGCCCAUGAUGACCAGAGGCACUGCUGGUACAUGUGGUCCUCCGGGAAGGGGGUUUGGCCAGCACCCCAUUCCCAGUCUGGCAUGGGUGUGCUCUGGGCGGGACCUCAGGACCUGCACCAGUGUGAGAAGGGCUGGCAGAGUUGGGCACAGUAGUGAUUUGGGGCCAGGGGCAGCAGGUCAGGAGCCUUGAGAACUGCUCUCCAGUCGCACAGGGCGCUGUUCAGAGACUAGUACCACGGAGAGCUGAAUCACUGCUCUCCUACCACAAGUGGAUUUGCAAGGAACAGGAGGGACCUGAACUUGUCUGCCUGAUUGGUGUGCCCUUUCCUCGGCCCCCACCUUUCCUGUUCUCACUGCUGGAGGAUCUGGGGCUUGUGAGGCCUGAGGCUGUGCUCGGGGCAGAGCUUGAGCAUCCUUCAGCAGUGAAGGCUGCCGCUCCCGACAGCGCCCUCGGUAGCCAAGGUCAGAAAGUUCUGGAAGGAUUGAGAAUGAGGAAGUGCACGCUGAGUCAGGGCAGGCUGAGUGGCCACAAGAGGGGUUAUGCUAGUCCCAUCAGAGGCAGCGCACCCUCGGGGCCAGGCUUCACUGCCAAGAAUGGAUGGCUUGGCCCAGAACCGAGUGUGAUUAAUUCAAAGGACAAACAGGAAGGCUUCUCACCUGCCCAGACCUCCGUCAGGGUUUCCUGUGAGACAGACGAUAGCAUCAGGAGCCCUCAGAGGAUAGGGAGUUUUGUUCCAUGCAGAGAGGCUCCGUGUGGUGACGUGAGCAGCUGCAGGGCUCGAGGGAGAGGGGCCCUGGGUCCCACAGCUCACAGCAAAUCCUCACUCCGGCCUGGGACCAGGGCUUGCUCCUUACCGGAUGGUCCCAGCACUGCUACCCUGCACACAGAGCUUUGCUUCAGGCCUUUCCAGGAAUGGAAUCUGCCCAGAACAACAGAGCAAACAGGAUGGGGAAAGCGGCUUCAGGUCACAAGGCAGUGGGCGGAGUUGGCAGCAGAGCACGGUCGUUCUGUACCAGGACGGCCGAUGGGUCUGCCCAGUAGUGGUGGGCUGGUGUCCCUGGAGAAGUGCAACUCUGAAUCCUGCUCAGCUGUCACCUGUCAGCUGCUGCAGACCGGGCCAGAUGCCUGCGCUCCACACCUGGUGGACAGCCAGAAACACUGAAGCAGACAGCAGGCUCGGAAACGUGGCCUUGUUGUCAGCGUCCAAAGGACAAAACGCAUCUCCCUGGCCGAUGGAGUCUGGCAGCCACAGUGCCCCCAGUGCCAUCACUCGCAGGCACACCAGCUAGGUACUGAGGGGUCCGCUUCUCGCUGGAGGACGUGAGAACACGGCAUGAUCUUGGGUGAACCCCUCUGCUGCGGGGCGGGCUCCCUGAGGUGCAGGACACAGCAAGGGCGCCUUCUGCAGACCAGGAGACUGCUGGAGAACAGGAAGCCCUGGCUGCCUGCCUGGCCACCUUCUCAACUCAGCACACACACACAGACACACAAACAUACACAUGCACAAACACACACACACACACACACACACGAACUUGAGCACACACCCCAAACCCAGCAUGCAGCACAUGUACCUCAAACACACUGCAAACACAAACCACCAAGUCAGCAGCACACCAGACAGCAUACGUCACACACCUCAGACACACCACCAACACACACUCACAACCUCACACAAACAGCACGCAGCAUGCACACAUCAACUACACACACAUAUACCUCAUACACAGCACACACAUACUCCGAACUACAUACCCCCUCAACAAAACACAUACUCCCAACAUGGCACGCCAGCCCCAUACACGCACAUACACACAUGCGCAUGUACAGAUACACACACACGCCGGUGUUCUGGGUAGGACCACUGCCCACCUGGGACAUCCAGGGGUUUGCCCCAGAUCACUAACCUGCUCUAAGGAAGAGGCAUCUGGGUAGCACACACACCCUCUGCCCUUUACAACGGCACCACACGGCCUUAGUGUGCAGGGUGGGACAUCUCAUCCAGCCGUGAGGAGCAGCUCCUCCUCUCGUGCGUGGAGACUGCAAAACUCGCCUCUGC